GCACAUAAAUGAUAAAUGAGUGCUGACGCCGCUGACUUUGUGAAGAAAGUUCGAAUGGGUAAGAAGUUUGAGCGGGCUUUGCGGGACAAGGCACAGUCUUCAAGCACCCAGGACCAGGAUGAUGGGGACCGGACGCCAGAACCACACGUCUGCACCGGACACUUCUCCAAUGAUUUCAAUGAGCUGUGCCAGCGGAACAAUAUGGUUGUGAUUCCAACGAUUGCCCACCGUCCCCGCCGCCCUCCAUCCCCUUCAGAGCGGCCACCUCCGGAUACUAAGGAGCAGAAGAAGGGUGAUAAGAACAAAGUGAAUGUUCCCAUACCUGAGCCAGAGCCAGAGAUUGAAUUAGAUGAAAAUGGAGAACCAAUUGACCCUCCACCAAAAACUUAUACCAUGAAAGGAAAGUUUGAAUAUUUCAAGCCAAGUAUUCAAGUCGAACAAGAUCAUCCUGACAAGCAAGACACAGUCACAGAAAUAUUCAUCCGAGGUUGGAAAAUAGACGAGUCAAUGGUCGGAGUCUUCAGUAAAUGUUUUGUGACAAUGGAGAAGCUUCACUCUAUCAACUUCUGGAAUGUUGGUCUAACAGAAGAGACAUUAAAACAGUUUGCUGCAUUCCUUCCCAACAUACCAAAUCUGAGGUCACUAAUGCUAGAUGCAAACCCAAUAAAAGGAGAGAAUUACUUUGAGCUCAUCAAAGAGGAAAGUCCGAUUCAGCAUCUCUCCCUGCGACACAACAGCAUCACCGACCACGGUGCCAAGCUUCUUGGCACGGCACUCGGCACAGUACACAAGACAAACGUCAAGUUAAUAUCGUUGAACCUCAACAGCAAUCAAAUCUCAGACGAGGGCGCUACAAGUUUAGCAGGGGGCUUGAGAUUCAACCGAUGUUUGCUUUCACUGUGUCUGGCCAAUAACAAGAUCAGUGAUUCUGGAGCUAAGAAGUUAGCAGAGGUGUUGUCCCGAUUUGCUCUAUCACACGAGGAGGUGAUAGAACGAAGGAAACUCUUGUCGGCUACCGAAAGACAGAAGUCAGUCAGUCCUCCUCCUAGUGGUGGACGAACAAGAGGUGAUCGUGAUCGACCCCCAAGCACUAAGGGUAGCUCUUCACACACUGAUAAAAGUAAACGAGAUACAAAAGACAAAUCGACGACUGGCAAAAAGCCAGGAAAGGACAAGAAAGAUGACGAUACAAAGGGUGGCACUAAAAAGGGGAAGGAUGCAACAAUCGGAAAGAAAGAAACAAGAACAACAAAAGGGGGCCGGCGGAGUCCGUCUGCUGGUACGAAUGACGGGAGGAAGGAACGACGGGCGUCCGCAAGUGGCCGUGGUUCUGGAGCCUCAAUAGCAGCUGACACCAAGACGCUGAAGGGGAAAGACAAAGGAAAGGGAGGCAAAGACAAGAAAGCAACAGUUCUUGAAACAGAGCCAUCUGAAGUGACUGAAGCAAUCAAUCCCCUCUUGGAGCAGACAGACAUUAUCGAUGGAGAGAUGUGGAUUCCAGGCAACAGAGCCUUGAUCAACCUCAACCUGACAAGAAAUCUUAUCAGUGAAGCAGGCAUCAGUGAGUUGUUGAAGGCAGUUCAGUACCAGACAACAUUAUCAAAGUUCUCCACUUCAGCCGGAACUGGUCUCAUGAGAAUAUGUCUCCAUAAAAACAAAGUCCCAACCGACAAUGCGAACUACGUAAAGCUAGCUGACUUAAUGAUCCAGAAAGAUCCAUUUUAUAAACCACCACCAAAAACCCCAGAUGAGGAAUCGACAAGAUCAGAGAGUGUCUCCAUAAAUCUGAAUUUAAAUCAUGCUGAAAAACGGCGUGGUUCGUCCAAAUCCAAUACUUCAAAUCAUUAGGGUGGAAGACGUUCUAGGUCGCCUCAACCAGCAGCUGCACUUUGAAUUGAAUCUGUUCUCGAGCCUUGCCUGAGUAAUGCCGACAAGUCCUUAAACGUCGUCCCUCCCAUUCUGUGAUAUUUCUUUGCCGUCCAUUGAAGUUCCAUCUACAAGCCAGGAAUAUGGACCGUGAUGACCAAGAGGCAGUUUGAUGCAACCCAUUCUGUGAUCAUUAUCAAUUAGAUUCCGUCAAAAACUCAUUCAAAUGAGUUUUAGAUACCGUCCAUUUUGAAUUUUAAAAACAUUUAAGAGACUUCAACUUCAACUGGCUUCAUAAAAGUUUAGGUUUGUGUUAAAUGAGUAAGCCUUUGAAAAUAGCGAAUUGAAUUGCUGAACUAGUCGAUUUUGAAAAUCAAGCCUUUGUUCAUACAACUAUUUAUGUAAAGUGCUGCAAGCUGCAAGCUAAAAAUUAUAGAUUUUCUGGAUACAUCAAAGUCCCUGAAAAACAUAUGAAAAAAGUAAAGAAGUAAAAAGCCAUUUUCUUAGAGUUCACGACUCUACAACAUGUAAUUUUGUACAUAUUAUUUUAUAUCAGAAUGUGUAAAUAAAAUCUUUAUGUAAUUUUA